rnacentral:lncRNA from 1 species
AAAAAAUGUAAUAGACGAGUGACCCAGCCAAUAAAAUCUUCAGCCGCGAGCUCUAGCCUUCUAGGUGCUCCGUCUGCAGUGCCUUCGCAACUCCGCCGAAAUAUAGCACGGUGCUUCGUCUGCAGUGCCUUUGCAACUCCGCCCAAAUAUAGCACGGUGCUCCGAGCAGGGCCCCGAAACAGCUAAAUGGACGAGGUUCUGUAGACAGCAAACGCCAUGAGCGCCGGUAUGAAGUAGAAGAGCACCGGAGAAUGGAGC